rnacentral:rRNA from 1 species
CCUACGGGACGCAGCAGUGGGGGAUAUUGCACAAUGGGGGAAACCCUGAUGCAGCGACGCCGCGUGGGCGAAGAAGUAUUUCGGUAUGUAAAGCCCUAUCAGCAGGGAAGAAGAAAUGACGGUACCUGAGUAAGAAGCACCGGCUAAAUACGUGCCAGCAGCCGCGGUAAUACGUAGGUGGCAAGCGUUGUCCGGAUUUACUGGGUGUAAAGGGCGUGCAGCCGGAGAGACAAGUCAGAUGUGAAAUCCACGGGCUCAACCCGUGAACUGCAUUUGAAACUGU